UCUACAGGGUUCAUUGCUAAAGAUAGCAGCAUUUCUGUUCAAGCAAGCCAAAGAAUGGGGAAUAGAAGAAAUAGAAGAAGACAAAAAACAACAACAAAGGCAAGUAAAUAAGAAGAUGCUAAUGGCAUGGUUGCCAUUGUUAUGCAAAGCUUGUAAUGGCACUGAUGUACCUGUUCUCAGCACUAGCGAAAGGGCAGAGCUAGAGAAAAUACUGGAAGAGCUCAUAGAGACAUUGGACCGGGAAGAGGAGCAGGAGCAAGUGCUGUCUUUGUGGCUACAACACUUCACUUAUUCCCCUUCUUCUGAUUGGCCUAAUCUCCAACCAGCUUAUGAUCGCUGGUGCACUAAUGCCCGUAAGCUCCUGAUUCUCCAGUGAAAAGCUUGGUUCAAAAUCCUGUGGUAAAAGGCUUCUCCACUUCACAAUGCUUCCUACUUUUCAUGGAUCAGCCAAGAAU
rnacentral:misc_RNA from 1 species